UAGAGCACGCUGCUUCAAGGGGAAAUCAUGACACUCGAUGACUUUGCUUAGAUCCGGUAAAGCGGAUUUAGACUUGUCCGUGGCCAGAAAUAAAGAAAUGAUUGCUGGUGACUUUCUGAGAAAAGCUCACCGACUCACCAACAGCUGCGUGGAAAUGGGAAAGUGCGUCGGCCAGCUGUCCGGCAGCCAGGAGCUUCUUCCCAUCUCCAGGUAAGGUGAUAUCCAUCCAUCCAUCCAUCUUCAAUACUACUUAUCCUUCAGGGUCACGGGGAACCUGGCGCCUAUCCCAGGGAGCAUCGGGCACAAGUAUAUCCUGGACAGGCCAAUCCAUUACGGCACAAUCACAUACACACUCGCACACCCAUUCAUUCACUACGGACACUUUUAGACAUGCCAAUCAGCCUACCAUGCAUGUCUUUGGACUGGGGGAGGAAACCGGAGUACCUGGAGGAAACCCCCACAGCACGGGGAGAACAUGAAAACUCCGCACACACAGGGCCUCAGUGGGAAUCGAGCCCCCGACCCUGGAGUGAGGCGAACGUGCUAACCACUAAGCCACCAUCCACCUGGUAUUGUGAUAUCUUUUUUUUAGUA